AGUGAACGCUGGCGGUAGGCCUAACACAUGCAAGUCGAACGGCAGCACAGUAAGAGCUUGCUCUUACGGGUGGCGAGUGGCGGACGGGUGAGGAAUACAUCGGAAUCUACUUUUUCGUGGGGGAUAACGUAGGGAAACUUACGCUAAUACCGCAUACGACCUACGGGUGAAAGCAGGGGAUCUUCGGACCUUGCGCGAUUGAAUGAGCCGAUGUCGGAUUAGCUAGUUGGCGGGGUAAAGGCCCACCAAGGCGACGAUCCGUAGCUGGUCUGAGAGGAUGAUCAGCCACACUGGAACUGAGACACGGUCCAGACUCCUACUGGAGGCAGCAGUGGGGAAUAUUGGACAAUGGGCGCAAUCCUGAUCCAGCCAUACCGCGUGGGUGAAGAAGGCCUUCGGGUUGUAAAGCCCUUUUGUUGGGAAAGAAAAGCAGCAGGUUAAUACCCCGCUGUUCUGACGGUACCCAAAGAAUAAGCACCGGCUAACUUCGUG
rnacentral:rRNA from 1 species